AUCGUAGAGAUUUUAGUAAAAAUAGAGGAAGAGCCAGAGACAAGGUGUGUACCUGGGGCUGUGCACCUGUUAUUGGUGCUGGGAGAGAAGUCUUUCUCCUACAGUCAGGUGCCAAAACUUCAUUCCAGGCUAGCUGACAGGUGAGAAACAGAUGCUGUUUUCUAGAAUCAACACACGUGCAGCAACCAGGGACUUGGAAUGGAUGGGAUCUGGGAGCAGCCCCAAUGUUUGAUGAUUCUACUUCCUGCUAAAUAAACCAAGUCUGUUUGA